GGGCCUGUAGUUAAAUGGUAUAACUUCGGAUUCCAAACCCGACGUCCUAGGUUCGAUUCCUAGUGGGCCCG
rfam:Parcubacteria bacterium C7867-004 C7867_00001, whole genome shotgun sequence.